GACGAACGCUGGCGGCGUGCUUAACACAUGCAAGUCGAACGGAAAGGCCCUGCUUUUGUGGGGUGCUCGAGUGGCGAACGGGUGAGUAACACGUGAGUAACCUGCCCUUUACUUUGGGAUAACUUCAGGAAACUGGGGCUAAUACCGGAUAGGAGCUCCUGCUGCAUGGUGGGGGUUGGAAAGUUUCGGCGGUUGGGGAUGGACUCGCGGCUUAUCAGCUUGUUGGUGGGGUAGUGGCUUACCAAGGCUUUGACGGGUAGCCGGCCUGAGAGGGUGACCGGCCACAUUGGGACUGAGAUACGGACCAGACUCCUACGGGAGGCAGCAGUGGGGAAUAUUGCACAAUGGGCGGAAGCCUGAGGCAGAAACGCCGCGUGCGGGAUGACGGCCUUCGGGUUGUAAACCGCUUUCGCCUGUGACGAAGCGUGAGUGACGGUAAUGGGUAAAGAAGCACCGGCUAACUACGUG
rnacentral:rRNA from 1 species